ACUGUCCUAAUCUAGGCCUCAAGGGCCGGCGUCCUGCUGGUUUUCCAGAAAUACUGCCUUAUUGGCUGCUGAUUACCUGGAUCAGAUGUGUUAAGCCAAUAAGGAGCAUCAGCGGCAGGUUGGUUUAGAAAACAGAGCCUGGAUUUGGAGGUCUAAACUAAAAGUGAAGUCUACUUUGUAUGCAUUAUCUAUAUAUUGUAAACUUAAAAUGUUCCAAUUUAGUCUGCAGAAGUAUCCAGGUAGGCUACAUAGUCUUUAGUAUACUUGCCAUACGUGCAUAAAAUAAACUUUAAGUGUACUACUUUUUGCUUUUUGUAGAUUUUUUUUUCUUAUUGUAUUUUUAUUUUUUGUACAGACAGCUAAUACAAGAAAUAGGGAUAAAUAUUUACCAUCUAUGAACAUGUUUUUUGCCUUUUUCUGAGUUCCGCUUACUCUUUCUUGUAAAGCGGAACUGUUUAGCCAGGAACAAAUGUUCAACAGAAGCCGGACCACAUAUGGACAGAACCAGAAUUUUCCGCUCAUAUUUUCCCGUCACUACUAUCUUAAAUAGGAGCUAAAGUCAUGCCAUAUCUCACUGUUUCUUUGGUUCUUCACGGUGUCUAAAUAGAUGGACUUACAGAGAGCUUCUGCUCGUGCACAGGCAGGUCCUUCAGUAGACAUGACCCAGAGCACAGAGGAGGACACUUUGGUGGACGGACCACUGAUCUCUGCUGAUGCACUUCACUCUGCCAUCAGGAGAGAGUUUCAAACGUUGCCAACACAUCUUCAUGCUGGCUUGUUGUCUCUUCUGCAUAUUGUCUACGUUGUGUUGUCAAUAUGCGUGGCUGUUUUGUGUGUGCUGAAGUUUGGACAAGAGGAGAAGUGUAUGGACUUUCUGGGCAACGAACAAGGCAGCAGUAUCAUCGUGUACGCCAAGGUGUGUCUGUGGGUGCUGGUCCUGGUGUUCUCCCUCUGUGUGCACCGUCAUCACGAUAAAGUUCGUAGCAGAGGAUACCUGCAAUUUUACAGACAAACACGGCGGCUGAAACAUCUGCCAUUCGCAAUACACUCUUCAGGAAAUGCUCUGUUGUUGAUCGUUCUGUCAGCAAGACUUUCACAGACGAUGCUCACCUACAUCCUUCUCAGCAUUCUGGGGCUGGAGUUUUUGUUGACUUUCCCAUGUCUACUGCAUUACGCAGUGCCGGUGAUCCGGUGUGUGGUGGGGUACAUCUGUUCCUCCGCUGCAUUCCUGCUCAGAUCAGUGCAGUCAGGCAUGAUGCAGGCCGAGCAACGCCUCUGCACACCAGGCCUACUUACAUCCAGCCGAAUGCUGGCAGAUGCCGAGUCAAGUCAAAGUGAUGCAGUUCAACCGUGAGCGUGCUGCGCCAGAUGUAAACCAGGAGGAGCUUUCUCACUCCUACAGUGUGACGAGCCAACCCAUUGAGACCGGCUUCAGAGGAGCAUCUGCUCUGGAGGAGGUGGUGGAGAAGCAGGCCGACCUGAUAGAGUACCUGAAAGAUCGCAACAGUUUGCUGAGCAAAAGGCUUCUCAACCUCACUGCUCAGCACUAACUACACUCUGGUCCCUUUCUUUGUUUGUCUGUGCCAUCCAGCCACAAACACUCAGAGAGCCUUGAGGUUUUACUGCACUGAGAGACAAACUGUGAGUUCAAAAGAGCUGGAUAAAUACUAAAGCACCUGUACACUCAGACUUCAGCCCGCCGCCUUUUCUGUGAGGUGUCCUCACUGGAGAUUCACAGAUAAAAAAGUGGAGAAAUGGGACUGAGGUGAGGAGUCACGGGUCACAGAUCAGAGGUGAAGGUUUUUCUCUUUAUCAUUCCCUUGACCCGCAGCGACCCGUGUGCCGCGGCUUUUGUUACUUCAGGAGAAACGGAGCGGAGAGAUCGGUUGUACAAAGGAAAGAGAAGUUAUCACAUGUCUGGAUUUAAAAAAAGAGGUUAUAUCCUGCUGUUUUAUCUGAGUGUUUUUCUCUUGACAUGUUUUACAGUAAUUUUGUGAAUUAUUUUGUGUACUUUGAUUCCAAUAAAAUGUGUUAAUAUUCCCACA